CCUACGGGUGGCAGCAGUGGGGAAUAUUGGGCAAUGGGCGCAAGCCUGACCCAGCAACGCCGCGUGAAGGAAGAAGGCCCUCGGGUUGUAAACUUCUUUUAUCAGGGACGCAGCAAGUGACGGUACCUUAUGAAUACGCCACGGCUAACUACGUGACAGAAGCCGCGGUAAUACGUAGGUGGCAAGCGUUAUCCGGAUAUACUGGGUGUAAAGUGCGUGUAGGCGGGAAAGCAAGUCAGAUGUGAAAACCAUGGGCUCAAACUGUGGCCUGCAUUUGAAACUGGUUUACGUGAGUACUGUAGAGGCAGGCGGAAUUCCAAGUGUAGCGGUGAAAUGCGUAGAUAUUAGGAGGAACACCAGUGGCGAAGGCGGUCUGCUGGACAGCAACUGACGCUGAGGCGCGAAAGCGUGGGGAGCAAACAGGAUUAGAUACCCUAGUAGUC
rnacentral:rRNA from 1 species